AUUGAACGCUGGCGGCAGGCCUAACACAUGCAAGUCGAGCGGAUGAAGGGAGCUUGCUCCUGGAUUCAGCGGCGGACGGGUGAGUAAUGCCUAGGAAUCUGCCUGGUAGUGGGGGAUAACGUCCGGAAACGGGCGCUAAUACCGCAUACGUCCUGAGGGAGAAAGUGGGGGAUCUUCGGACCUCACGCUAUCAGAUGAGCCUAGGUCGGAUUAGCUAGUUGGUGGGGUAAAGGCCUACCAAGGCGACGAUCCGUAACUGGUCUGAGAGGAUGAUCAGUCACACUGGAACUGAGCCACGGUCCAGACUUCUACGGGAGGCAGCGGUGGGGAAUAUUGGCCAAUGGGCGAAAGCCUGAUCCAGCCAUGCCGCGUGUGUGAAGAAGGUCUUCGGAUUGUAAAGCACUUUAAGUUGGGAGGAAGGGCAGUAAGUUAAUACCUUGCUGUUUUGACGCUACCAACAGAAUAAGCACCGGCUAACUUCGUG
rnacentral:rRNA from 1 species